rnacentral:lncRNA from 1 species
GAGCAAGGGAAUAAUAUUCUUCUAGAAAACUUCUUGUAGUAGUAUCAAGUCUCCCCUUGAUUCUGAUAAACAUUGCGCGCGAAGUUUACACUUUAAGGAGGAGGCCGUUUCCCCCUUCUGAAAAGGCAUGUGACAUAAUUAUCCCAGCGAUCACUAAAACUGUAAAUUUGGAUGCAAUUAAGAGAGAAAACUCCACACAUUUAUGGAAAUUUAAGGUA